GAUGAACGCUGGCGGCGUGCCUAAUACAUGCAAGUCGAGCGAACAGACGAGGAGCUUGCUCCUUUGACGUUAGCGGCGGACGGGUGAGUAACACGUGGAUAACCUACCUAUAAGACUGGGAUAACUUCGGGAAACCGGAGCUAAUACCGGAUAACAUGUUGAACCGCAUGGUUCAACAGUGAAAGACGGUCUUGCUGUCACUUAUAGAUGGAUCCGCGCCGCAUUAGCUAGUUGGUAAGGUAACGGCUUACCAAGGCAACGAUGCGUAGCCGACCUGAGAGGGGGAUCGGCCACAGGGGAACGGGGACACGGACCAAAACCCUACGGGAGGCAGGAGGAAGAAACCUUCCGCAAGGGGCAAAGGCCAAGAGGGGAAAAGCGGCGAAAGUGAAAAAGGUCUUCGGAGCGUAAACCCUUUUUAUUAGGGAAGAACAAAGUUGUAAUAAACUAGCCCCGUCUUACAGGUACCUAAUCAGAAACCCCGGGCAAACUACGU
rnacentral:rRNA from 1 species